AACAAACGCUGGCGGCGUGCCUAACACAUGCAAGUCGUACGAGAAAGGGUCCUUCGGGGCCUGAGUAAAGUGGCGCACGGGUGAGUAACGCGUGGAUAAUCUGCCCUUCAGUUGGGAAUAACUCAUCGAAAGGUGGGCUAAUACCGAAUAAUGCUGUGAGACCUCGGUUGAUCCGCCAAAGAGUGCCUCUGCUUGCAAGCCCUCGCUGAAGGCUGAGUCCGCGUACCAUUAGCUAGUUGGUAGGGUAAUGGCCUACCAAGGCGACGAUGGUUAGCUGGUCUGAGAGGAUGAUCAGCCACACUGGAACUGAGACACGGUCCAGACUCCUACGGGAGGCAGCAGUGAGGAAUCUUGCGCAAUGGGGGCAACCCUGACGCAGCAACGCCGCGUGAGUGAGGAAGGUCUUCGGAUCGUAAAGCUCUGUCGGAUGGAAAGAACCGCAUAGGGGUAAACAGCCCCUGUGUCUGACGGUACCAUCAAAGGAAGCACCGGCUAACUCCGUGCCAGCCGCCGCCGUAACAC
rnacentral:rRNA from 1 species